AUAUGAACAACGCAAAUUAUCAACACUGCCUUAAAAGCAUUUUCGAUUCGAGAGCCCGCUGUGCUUCAAACGCGCAGUGUGUCCGGCUCCAUGACGACGAAAACCGUCUGUGCUAGUGGAGAGGAAAGGUCAGAGGAUCUUGGGUGCCGUUGGCUUCUAGUCUUUUUCAUAGGACGGUGAGGUCGAGGGCAAUGAUCAGCUGUACAU
rnacentral:sRNA from 1 species